GUUGGAGGUGUUUUCAAUGACAGACAAAAUGAUAGUUAAGAUGUACCCGGUACUCCAAGUGUUAAGUAUCAAAGUACCUUAUUCAGCAUUUAAGCUAUUGAACUUGAAGAAAAAAGACAUUAAAGGCAAAUCAUAAGUUUGAAAAGGGAAUAAGGGAACAUCUGUCAAAAUAUACAACAAGAGUUUAAGAGGUUUUUCCCCCAGUGUAAACGGCUAUGGUAAAUAUGUUUUAAGAUGCAUGAAAUUCUUUGAUAGUAUUCAAAAUAAUGGACAUGAUGAAACCAAAAUUGAAAUGGGACCAGACGUACAAACAAGCAAUUGGUUCAAUGUGAAUACAUAUAUCCUCCAUUGGGUGCAUUAACAAUUUAAAACUAAAAAAAAGGUUAAGUAUAGACAAUAGAUGGCAUUAACAAUUUUAAACUGAAAAUUGGUUUAGUAUACAAAAUAAGAGGGCAUAAACAAUUUGAAACUGAAAUGGGGUAAGGUAUAAACAAAAGGUUGCAUGAACAUUGUAAACCUGAAAAAAAGAUUUAGUAUAAACAAAAGGGGCAUCAACAAUUUUAAACCUGACAAAAAGUUUUAGUAUAAACAAUAGGGGCAUUAACAAUUUAAAACUGAAAAAAGGUUUAGUACAAAGAAUAGGGGCAAUCUCCCCCGCAUGAACAAUUUUAAACCGAAAAAAGAUUUAGUAUAAGCAAUAGGGUCAUUAACAAUUAAAAACUGAAAAAAGGUUUAGUAUAAACAAUAGGGGUAUUAUGGUAAAAAUUUUAAACUGAAAUGUGGAUUAGUAUAAACAAUAGGGGCACUAACAAUUUAAAUCUGAAAAAGGUUUAGUAUAAACAAUAGGGGCAUGAACAAUUUAAAACUGAAAUAAGGUUUAGUAUAAACAAUAAGGGCAUGAACAAUUUAAAACCGAAAAAAGGUUUAGUAUCAACAAUAGGGGCAUGAACAAUUUUAAACUGAAUUUUUUUUAUGUAUCAACAAUAAAUUGUUUGACAAAUGUAAUACUAAACAAUCAAAAGCAGAGUUUUGAACAAAUUGAAAUAUAAUUUUUAUUAUUGAUAUUUAAAGAUUUAAAAACUUUAAACAGAGCAAUAUUCUAUAGAUAUCUCAUUCAAGUCCACAAACUUAUUCCUCAGUGAGCAUCAUUAUUUAAAAACAAUCA